rnacentral:lncRNA from 10 species
GCUGAGGCAGGAGAAUGGCGUGAACCCAGAAGGUGGAGCUUGCAGUGAGCUCCCACUGCACUCCAGCCUGGGUGACAGAGGGAGAGAGGGAGACUCAGAGACAGUCUCAAAAAAAAAAAAAAAAUCCCUGAAAAUGUGGAAGUUUGGAACUGGGUAACAGGCAGAGGUUGGAACAGUUAGGAGGGCUCAGAAGACUCCAGGAACCUGGUUAUGGAGACAUGGCUAUGGCAUGCUAAAUAAAGUGAGAAAAAACAAAGUAUAUUUUAAUUCUCAAUUCUUUAGUAUAUUUUUAAAAGCUAGAGGAUUCAAGCAAAGGGAAAAAUCAGUGUAAUAUAGAGCUGGGCUUGAUGAACAGUGGUCCAAGAUGAACAGAAAAUGGAAAGCUAAGACAUGGUAUAAAAAAUAAGAUCAAAGGCAACAGUUUCAUCUGCAUUGUAGUUCUGAUAGAGGCCCGGUUUUUGACAGAAGCCCACAUGGGGAAAAAUGAAUGUCUUUCUUCUAAGAUCUGGAACUCAAUAAGGAUCCCCACUUUUACCACUGUUAUUCAACAUAGUACUGAAAGUCUUAGCUAGAGCAAUCAGACAAGAGAAAAAAGUAAAGGACAUAAAAUUGGAAUGGAAGAGGUCAAAUUAUUCUUGUUUGCAGAUGACAUGAUCUUAUAUUUGGAAAAUGCUAACGACUCCACCAGAAAACUAUUAGAACUGAUGAAUUCAGUAAAGCUGUAGGAUACAAAAUCGGCAUAUUAAAAAUCAGAAUUAUUUCUAUAUGCCAACAAUAAA